GACGAACGCUGGCGGCGUGCCUAACACAUGCAAGUCGAACGGAAGUUAACGCUGAUUUGAAUCUAGCUUGCUAGAGGAUUUUCUUGUUAACUUUAGUGGCGGACGGGUGAGUAACGCGUGAGUAACCUGCCUUACAGAGGGGGACAACAGUUGGAAACGACUGCUAAUACCGCAUAACGCCUGAGGGUUAAAGAUUUAUCGCUUUAGGAAUGGCCCAUGGCAGAUUAGGUAGUUGGUGGGGUAAAGGCCUACCAAGCCGACGAUCUGUAGCUGGUCUGAGAGGACGAUCAGCCACAUUGGGACUGAGACACGGCCCAGACUCCUACGGGAGGCAGCAGUGAGGAAUAUUGCACAAUGGGGGAAACCCUGAUGCAGCGACGCCGCGUGAGUGAAGAAGUAUUUCGGUAUGUAAAGCUCUAUCAGCAGGGAAGAAAAUGACGGUACCUGACUAAGAAGCCCCCGGCUAACUACGUG
rnacentral:rRNA from 1 species